GGACAUACUUCUUGACGUCUAAUCGGAAUGGUGGGAUGGGCCGUAGUCCAGCAUAUUCAGCCUAGUGUCAGUGUUAGUGAGAACUAUGAUCGUGUACGCAGCGCGUGUUGUUUGUGAAUUUAGUCGGUCUGUGUUAGAUGUCCUGCUACUAAAAAGUAUUUCCAGGUUCUGUCGAUCCUGAUGACGCGUUAAAUGGGAUUCUCCAGGGACCGUCCGUAGUCCCUGAGGGACCAGGGGCGUCCUUCUGCUCCCGUGGUGUGAUGACACUGCUUUUUACGCCGUGUAGCAGGAAUCGCCGGUAAAAGGAUGUGGAAUGGAGUAUGCAGAUGAAGAGGACAUGUAGAAGAAACAUUUCUGAAGCAUAAUUAAAACGGUCGCGUCGGUUCGUGGUUCUGGGGCUGUUCUAAGGCUUUUCACAACAUUUUAAGGUCACACUUUUUAUUUGCGUUCGUAUUUUCUUUGAUUCGAAUCAUAUAUAAUCCUUUGUAUUUCUUGUCGUUUGUAAAAAUCACAAGAAAUAUCUCUAAUUUUUUUCGAGGUGUCUAUUUCUCAAAAUAAUUUAAACCCAAUUUGACUUUUACACUGUUAUGUUUCAUUUAUUAUUAAAAAAAAUGUGUGCCAGGAAAUCGGAUCUUCAAUUAACCAUAUUCUUUUUUUCAAGUAUUUUUAUAACAAAAAUUAUUAUUUCUUAUAUUUUUAUCUAGUCUCGGUAGUGUUGAAUGGGGAGUGCUAAGGUAAUUGAGGUUCACAGCCUUUCUUAUUUUGGUGUUUUCUGUUUAGUGUUAUUUGGGAUUAGAAUCUUUCUAAAAAUCCUAAAGGAUAUCAUUUUUAUUUUCUGUAAUUUUAAACUAAAUUUAAUCAUUCUAUUCUAG